rnacentral:lncRNA from 1 species
GGAGGCUUCCCUCUGACUGACCCCUCGGUGAUACACUGGGGUGGACAGAGAGAGACAUGACGACCAUGGUGGCUGUGAAGCAAUCCUGACAGUAACUGACUUCCCCUGGGGCUGCCAACCCUGCUAUACACACACUGACCGGAUGCUUGUCAGUGGCUGCCUGGUGCCAAUCAAAGGUCAAAGGUGGGAUCAAGUUAAGGUUAGCAUCCAAGCAAAAGACCAGAACCUUGACCUACCUCCAAGUCCAAGGGAACCCACAGGAGAACUGGUCACUCUGCUAUCUCCAUUGCUCUGAGAGUAGCCUUAACCUGUGAGAUCGAAGCUCUAUGGCCCUGGGCUUCCUAUUUUGGUGCAGGAGGCGAAGGUUUAGAAGGCAGGACAGACUACCAUGUUUCUUCCCAGACCUACCCCACCUGCACCACGCCAAGAAUGGCAGCCAGGGCAGGGUUUGGUCCCUGGGCUCCAAGUCUACUCCUGAACCCCCGAUGAGUCUCACCUUAGGUCAAGACAACCCCUCAGCAGGAGCCCUCAGGUGACAAUCUCUGUGCAGAUAUUCCAAUGUUAACCUCAGUUGGAACUCAGUUGCAACUCGUCUGAGGACAGGGCCGGGGAGGGGGGAAGGGCGCCGCAGCAACAAUAGAUGCUUCCUCUUUGGUUUCAAGUCAUGCCGGGAUUUCUCAGGCCUCUAGUGCUAUUUACACAGACCAUGGGCACACAGACCUAGCCAACCACUGCCUGUGGAAGCCCACACAGCUUUUCAUCCCAACUUCAACUGCCUCCCAGGUCCCACACCGGUCUUAACUCCCACCUGCUGACAGGAAAUGGCAGAGAUUAGGUGAAGAUAGCACACUGUAGCUCCCAGAAAAACUUAGAAAGGAGACAUCAAACAGCCCAGAGCAGAGCCGAGAUCUGUUCCAAAAGGUCUGGAGGCAUGAGCAGUGUUAAGGGAUCUAAAGAGCCAAGUCCACAGAGAGGGGCUGGCGUAAGGUAC